ACUCCUACGGGAGGCAGCAGUGGGGAAUAUUGCACAAUGGGCGCAGCCAUGACUGCAGCCAUGCCGCGUGUGUGAGAAGGCCAAUCGGGCUUGGUUAAAGACACUUUCAGUCGUGAGGAAGGUAGUGUAGUUAAUAGCUGCAUUAUUUGACGUUAGCGACAGAAGAAGCACCGGCUAACUCCGUGCCAGCAGCCGCGGUAAUACGGAGGGUGCGAGCGUUAAUCGGAAUUACUGGGCGUAAAGCGCAUGCAGGUGGUUUGUUAAGUCAGAUGUGAAAGCCCGGGGCUCAAGCCUCGGAAUUGCA
rnacentral:rRNA from 1 species